GAUGAACGCUGGCGGCGUGCCUAAUACAUGCAAGUCGAGCGAACGGACGAGAAGCUUGCUUCUCUGAUGUUAGCGGCGGACGGGUGAGUAACACGUGGAUAACCUACCUAUAAGACUGGGAUAACUUCGGGAAACCGGCGCUAAUACCGGAUAAUAUUUUGAACCGCAUGGUUCAAAAGUGAAAGACGGUCUUGCUGUCACUUAUAGAUGGAUCCGCGCUGCAUUAGCUAGUUGGUAAGGUAACGGCUUACCAAGGCAACGAUGCAUAGCCGACCUGAGAGGGUGAUCGGCCACACUGGAACUGAGACACGGUCCAGACUACUAAGGGAGGCAGCAGUAGGGAAUCUUCCGCAAUGGGCGAAAGCCUGACGGAGCAACGCCGCGUGAGUGAUGAAGGUCUUCGGAUCGUAAAACUCUGUUAUUAGGGAAGAACAUAUGUGUAAGUAACUGUGCACAUCUUGACGGUACCUAAUCAGAAAGCCACGGCUAACUACGUG
rnacentral:rRNA from 1 species